UUAUUUUUCUUUCGAGAUUUUUCUAUUAUCUAUCAUGAAAGGCUAUAAGAGAAAUAAUUUUUUUUAAAUAAAAUUAAAGUUAAAAUAAAUAGAGAACAUAAGAUAUAAACAUAACACUUUGAUAUAUCUUAGAGAUAUCUAACACAAGUUACAGUUUUAUGAUUGUCUCUUUAAACUCCAAUGCAUUAAAAUUUAUUUAAUUAUAGUUUACAUAAUAUAGAAUUUUUACUUAUAAAGUGAUCAAACACAUUUUUCAGUUUGUUACAUGAAAACAUGAAAAAAAAUAUGGCUCAGCUUUCCAAGUUCCUUUAUGUUUUGGUUAUCAUUAUUUCUUUGUUUUUUACUUCAAUUAAUGGAGAAACAACGCCGCAUGAUCCAUUUUAUUGCAAAACUACGGCAGAUUGUGCUUACAAGACGUGCCCUAGUCAUUUGGAUCCAAAGUGCAUUCAUUAUAGGUGUCAAUGCAUAUAAUUUUGUUUUCGUGUCAUGAUGUUGGUAUUUUUUUUAAUAAUAUUUUAUAUUUUCUUUUAUGUAUCUAUUAUCUUUUAAAUAAUUUGACUAGCACAAAAUUAUCUUAUUAAGUGUUGUUAAUCGGGUUGCUUUUAAAAAAUAUUAAAUAAAACGUUGUCACUUAUAGAAUUAUAUAGUGAAGAAAACAUUA